CACAGACCAAUGGCAAAAGGCAAUGCGAGUAAAAUUAGACCAUCUAAUUUUCCUUUAUUUAAAAAAAAAAAAGGCAAACUUAUUUGUGCUCUAGAUUGGGAUAGUACCCAACAACCAUGCCUGUACAAUUCUAUUGUGAUUGGUCUUCCUUCACACUUUGUCUCAUGCACCACUGAGGACUACUACUACUACUAGAGAGAAGUAGGACGGCUGGCCCAACUCUUCUUCCUGUUGUAAACUGUCAUGGUUUAAUAUCAACAAAAAGCAAUGAAAAAUGGAAAAAUAAUGAACAUGAAUGUCAAUUUACCUUGGAAUGCCAGUCAGUUAUUAACUAAAAACAUUAUUUUAUUGGAGUCUCCAUUAUAAUCACAGUAAUGGACUACUGAUUACAUCACAAAACAAUCACUGGUGAUAUAUCACACUAUCUCUGUAAGUGAGGAAGAAAGCAUACCC
ensembl:lncRNA